rnacentral:rRNA from 1 species
UACGGAGGGUGCGAGCGUUGUCCGGAAUCACUGGGCGUAAAGGGCGCGUAGGUGGCCUGUGGAAGUCUGCGGUGAAAGCCCGGCGCUCAACGCCGGGUCGGCCGUGGAUACUCUCGGGCUCGAGCUUACUAGAGGCAGAUGGAAUUCCGGGUGUAGCGGUGGAAUGCGUAGAGAUCCGGAAGAACACCGGUGGCGAAGGCGGUCUGCUGGGGUAAUGCUGACACUGAGGAGCGAAAGCUAGGGGAGCAAACGGG